AUGGCCGCGGUGCUCUGCGCCCAGGAUGGCUGCGACCACCUGAACUGCCACGACGGUCCCUUCCUCGUGGCCUUCGCGGGCUCCAAUGAGUUAGAGAGGACCAUGUUCGCCUCCUUCUACUCAUCCGAGGCUGCCGAGUGGAGCAAAAUGAUCUCCAUUGAGAACCCGAAUGCCACCAGUGCCAUGGAGGAAACAGGGCACACUGCGGUUGUGGGAAACAAAGUCUAUUUCCCCCGCGAAUCGAGCAGAAGAAUAGUGGUGUAUGACGUGGGCGAGCAAGAACUUUCGGCGAUCAAUUUGCAGGACCAGCCAUGCGGUAAACUCAUGGGGGAGGAGGACGGCGCACUGGUGUUUGCGAGUAUGGGGGAUUCUAAACUCUAUUUGCGGUUAAUGGAGGAUGGUCCCAAUGGAGUUGUGGCAAGGGGGCAACGCAGGGUCGUUGAGCUUCAAACAUCGCUCCCUCCUAGUGCCCUCUCGAGCACAUACUGGAUGGUACGCAAAACCUUCGUGAGUGGUGGACCCUCGCUGGUUGGUUUCGCGAGCGGUGCUGGUGUCAUCUUCCUCAAUACAGAAGCUGGCCUGUUCACAAUUGAGGUCUGUUCUGGCCAAACAAAGAAGGUACACAGAAAGAUGUUCGUCCAGACAGUCAUACCCUAUGUGAGCUUCUACAGUCGAGGUACUAGCUUCUUUGAACGUGUAUAA
rnacentral:rRNA from 1 species